rnacentral:tRNA from 1 species
GCAGGUGUAGUUCAAUGGUAGAACGCCAGCCCUCCAAGCUGGAUAUGAGAGUUCGAUUCUCUUUACCUGCUCCA